GACGAACGCUGGCGGCGUGCUUAACACAUGCAAGUCGAACGGAAAGGCCCUGCUUUUGUGGGGUGCUCGCGUGGCGAAAGGGUGAGUAACACGUGAGUAACCUGCCCUUGACUUUGGGAUAACUUCAGGAAACUGGGGCUAAUACCGGAUAGGAGCUCCUGCUGCAUGGUGGGGGUUGGAAAGUUUCGGCGGUUGGGUAUGGACUCGACGCUUAUCAGCUUGUUGGUGGGGUAGUGGCUUACCAAGGCUUUGACGGGUAGCCGGCCUGAGAGGGUGACCGGCCACAUUGGGGCUGAGAUACGGCCCAGACUCAUACUGGAGGCAGCAGUGGGGAAUAUUGCACAAUGGGCGGAAGCCUGAUGCAGCAACGCCGCGUGCGGGAUGACGGCCUUCGGGUUGGAAACCGCUUUCGCCUGUGACGAAGCGUAAGUGACGGUAAUGGGUAAAGAAGCAACGGCUGACUACGUG
rnacentral:rRNA from 1 species